AUCACCCUGAGCCCCGAAGCGGCGGCGGCGGCGGCCGCCAUGCGGAAGUCGUGCCGGGUUCAACGCUGCUGCAGCGCCGCCGGGCAGCCCCGGGGCUCCGAGCGCCGCUUCAGCUUCUCCGAGUGGGUGUUCGGGGGUGGGGGGGUUGCGUGCUGCUCUGCGUUGGCCCCGUGGGGCCGCUGCGGUGCUCAGGGCCUCUGCUCGGCGGCGGGAGAUGCCCUGUGCCCCCCCACCCAGGAAGCCCCACGUCUACCCCUGGAGUCAUGCAGAAGGAUCUGGAUAUGUCCUGGAGGGAUUUGGGGGAGGCCAGGGAGCCCUGGACUCAUCCAGAAGAGUCUGGAGAUGUCCCAGAGGAGUCUUGGGGCAUUCAGGGAGUCCUCAUGUGGGUCUGGAGGGUUCUGGAUUCCUCAGACGGGUCUGGAGAUGCCCCGGAGGUGUUUUGGGGAGACCAGGGGGUCCUGGAGUCCUCCAGGAGUCUCAAGCCUGCCUCCAGCCGGACCUGGUAACACUGGAGCUCUCUGGCGCUGUCACCAUUAUGUGCCACAAGGAUGGGGACGUGGUGGUGUACUCUGCUGCCACCAGAGGGGACCGUGUGUGACAUCAGCGUGGAACAGCUGUCAUCGCUGCUGGGUGUUGCUUUUGUCAACAUGCAUGGGGUGUCACCCCUUCCAUGUCACACCCCAAAGUUGGAGGCACCCCUCUGCAGAUCCCCCGGUGUCCGUCCUUCUGACCGCAUUGUUCCCAUGCGGGGGUGGGUGGAGUUGAGGGGGGCACACACUUUAUUUUUGUAAAUAAGAUUUAUUUUGUGAUAAGGUGGACUGGGAGACGCCGCCCCCCCAGACCUCUGCAUGAAUAAAAGGCAGAGGAGCGGCUGUGGGGCUCUGCAUGUCACACCGGGGG
rnacentral:lncRNA from 1 species